rnacentral:lncRNA from 1 species
CAAAUAUAAAAAUGUUGUAACUCAAUGGACGAUAAACAGAUGAAUAUAUGACAAAGGAAUAUAUAUAUAUAUUGCAAGUCAGUGGACUGUAUAUGCUACAUACUGAUACAAAUAAGAAAAAGAGUACUACGACUCAACGAAAGGUACAGACUGAUGAAUGAGAUAAUUAUACGAUUCGCGAUAAGAUAAAGACUGCAACUGACUGGACGGUACAGAAUAAGGUGUGAAAGAUAGAAUAGAGUAGUGGACUAGAUG